rnacentral:rRNA from 1 species
AUGGCCUCCGCCUCGCCGCCGCCCUCCGUCGCCGUCGCCGUCCGGCCCGGCGGCAGCGCGAGCCGCCGCGCCGCGCGGUGGGCUGCGGCCAGCCUCCUGGGCGACGGCGGCGCAGGCCACGCCGUCGCCAUCACCUUCGUCUACGUCAUCCCCACGCUCACAUUCGUCCCCUCCCCGGCCGGGGAGCGGGUGCCGGUGGCGCGGGCGCGGCACGAGGUGGUGGAGGCGUACUCCCGAGACCGGCACGCGCGCGUGCAGGAGGCGCUGCUCCCCUUCCGCCGCCUCGCCAAAGCGAAUGCGGAGACGGUGGUGGUGGAAGGCGACGGCGUGGCGGAGACGCUGGUGCGGUACGCGGCGGAGUCCGGCGUACGGAGCCUGGUGCUAGGCUCGGGCUCCUUCCGGUGGUUCCACAGGGUGAUGAGUAGUCCUGAUGUACCUACCGCUGUCCUGAAAACUACGCAAAAUUCGUGCAAUGUGUUUGUUGUGUGCAAGCGAAGAUUAAUCGUGAAAGUUGCAGGACAUCCUCAAGCAGGCAUGUCUGGCACAAACUUAAGCAUUCAUUCAAUUACUCACAAAGCGUUUUCAGAAACGCAGAUGACCUUGUUGUUUGACAGUUCUACAGAGGCUGAGACGAUCUCAGUAUCAUCAGGCUCACAGGCCCGUUGCUCCUAUAGUGCUAGUUCGGAUGCUAGUGCAGGUUCAGAAAGCAGUGGAUUAGUCCACAUAGUAAGUGGAGAUGCAUUGCAAGCAGGAACAGAUGUAAAUCAAAGCUAUGGUUCUCAUAGCCUUUUGAAGAAAGUUUCUUAUGGUGCCUCGAACUCAAGUGAUGAGCGUCAAUCUAUAGAUGAAGUAGAAAAGCUGAGGAAGGAAUUGAAGGAAACCUUGGUAAUGUAUGAUAAAGCCUGCGAUGAUCUCGUCCAUGCUAAGAAAAAGAUUCAGGUACUUUCGAACGAAUGUUCUGAAGAAGCAAGGAAGGUGGAGAAUGCGUUACGCAAGGAAAAAAUUCUGAAGCAAGUAGCAGCAGAUGAGAAAGCAAAACAUUUGGAAGCCAUUAACGAAGUCGAGCAAGCAAAAAGAUCAAUCACCAGGGAGGCCUACUCUAAGCACAAAGCUGAAAUGGUAGGUUGCAUAAUUUCUCUCGAUAAGGAGAAAAUUGUAGAUGCUAUUCUGUCAACAAGCAAAAAUUGCAGGAGGUACUCGAAACAUGAAAUAGAACUUGCCACUGAUAACUUCUCUGAAGCAAGGAAGAUCGGUGAAGGAGGUUAUGGGAAUGUGUAUAGGUGCACCCUUGAUCACAUUGAAGUAGCAGUCAAGAUCAUUCAGCAGGAUUCCACCGACAAAACUGACGAGUUCUUGAAGGAGGUUGAGAUUCUUAGCCAACUUCACCAUCCCAACUUGGUUUUAUUAAUUGGUUUCUGUCCUGAAAUCGGCUGUCUUGUAUAUGAAUACUUGGAGAAUGGAAGCCUAGAAGAUCAACUUCUUAACAACAAAAAACAUCAGCCACUGCAUUGGUUCCUCCGGUUUCGUAUCAUCUUUCAAGUGUCCUGUGGGCUUGCUUUUUUACAUGGAAGGAAGCCAGAGCCUAUAGUCCACCGUGACCUGAAACCUGCAAACAUCCUGUUGGACAAGAACUAUGUGGGUAAAAUUGGCGAUGCUGGUUUCGCGAAGGUCAUAUCUGAUCUGAUCCCUGAUUGGCAAACCGAAUACACAGAUACCAUUGUUGCUGGCACCAUGUACUACAUGGAUCCUGACUACCAGCAAACCGGGACUGUUCGGCCGAAAUCAGAUCUGUUCGGUCUAGGAGUCAUCAUUCUUCAGAUGCUAACUGGCAAGCACCCAAACGGCCUCAUCGUAAGCGUAGAAAAUGCUAUCAAAAGCAGGUCACUUCCAUAUAUCCUCGACAGAACUCAAACUGACUGGCCAGUCGCCGAGGCGGAAAUGUUGGCAAAGCUCGGUUUGCGGUGCACUGCUCUAAAAUGCAGGGAUAGGCCUGAUCUUGAGUCGGAGGUGCUGCCGGAGCUGGAGGAGAUCCUGCACAGGGUUUCCUCCAUUGUCAACAUGAGAAACCCAAACUCGCGAGCACCAAGCCACUUCAUCUGCCCCAUAACACAGGGGUUGAUGGAUGAUCCGUAUGUCGCUGCUGAUGGACACACCUAUGAGCAUCAUGCCAUCAAAGAUUGGCUCAGGAAACACAGGGUGUCGCCAAUCACAAGGUGCAAGCUUCCGAACUUAUCCAUAAUCCCAAACCAUUCGCUGCACGCGGCGAUACAGCAGUGGAAGAAGUCACAGACAGCUCAGACGCAGCCUUGGAAAUGA